AGAUUUAGCUCUGUAGAAGAGCAUGUGCCUGGCAAGUACAAGGCCUUGAGUUCAAUCCUCAGGUCUG
rnacentral:tRNA from 1 species